CCUACUGUGGGCUGCAGUGAGGAAUAUUGGUCAAUGGACGAGAGUCUGAACCAGCCAAGUAGCGUGAAGGAUGACUGCCCUAUGGGUUGUAAACUUCUUUUAUAUGGGAAUAAAAUGUUCCACGUGUGGGAUUUUGUAUGUACCAUAUGAAUAAGGAUGGGCUAAUUCCGUGCCAUCAGCCUCGGUAAUACAGAGGGUGCGAGCGUGAAUCGGAAUGAAUGGGCGGAAAGCGCUCGUAGGCGGUAUGGCAAGUCAAGGGUGAAAUCCCCGCGCUCAACGUGGGAACUGCCUUUGAAACUGGCAAACUGGAGUGUGUGAGAGGAUAGUGGAAUUCCAGGUGUAGGAGUGAAAUCCGUAGAUAUCUGGAGGAACAUCAGUGGCGAAGGCGACUAUCUGGCACAUAACUGACGCUGAGGAGCGAAAGCGUGGGUAGCAAACAGGAUUAGAUACCCUUGUAGUC
rnacentral:rRNA from 1 species